ACAAAACGCAACUUUGGGUCAAAAGUUGCGUUUUAAAAAACGCCCUAAACGCGCAUCAGUCCUUAUGCGAAGCAUCAGGUCCAUUUUCCAAAAGUCCUUGGGCGUUUUGGGGUAUCCGUUGGGGUGAGCAGGCAAUUACGAAAUUACCCUUCAAAUGCUCAUGUCUUCAGAGAUCGCACAGGCACUUCAUUUCACUUUGGGUCUCUCUGCUCUGCGCAAGCUCCUUCGUUCCUCUCAUCUCUGUGCUGCUACAAGUAACAACUUUCCGCGCGUAGAGUUUUGAUCAAAAAAACCCCAAGCAACACGGAUCUGCUACCCAAAGCCACCAGAUGGGUAAAAAGACUACUUCCAACUCUGAGGUAAAAAAGGCUAGAGCAGACUGGGAUAUUAAUCCAACGUGGACAACUACCUUUUGUAACAUUUGUGUGGAACAAAUUCAAGCCGGGAAUAGAACAAAAGGUGCUGGCU